UAAUACGUAGGGUGCGAGCGUUAAUCGGAAUUACUGGGCGUAAAGUGUGCGCAGGCGGCCCCGCAAGUCGAGUGUGAAAUCCCCGAGCUUAACUUGGGAAUUGCGCUCGAAACUACGGGGCUUGAGUGUGGCAGAGGGGGGUGGAAUUCCACGUGUAGCGGUGAAAUGCGUAGAGAUGUGGAGGAACACCAAUGGCGAAGGCAGCCCCCUGGGCCAACACUGACGCUCAUGCACGAAAGCGUGGGGAGCAAACAGGAUUAGAUACCCUGGUAGUCCACGCCCUAAACGAUGAUGACUAGUUGUUGGAGGAGUUAAAUCCUUUAGUAACGCAGCUAACGCGCGAAGUCAUCCGCCUGGGGAGUACGGUCGCAAGAUUAAAACUUAAAGGAAUUGACGG
rnacentral:rRNA from 1 species